rnacentral:rRNA from 1 species
GUGUCAGCCGCCGCGGUAAUACGGAGGGUGCAAGCGUUGUUCGGAAUUAUUGGGCGUAAAGCGCGUGUAGGCGGCUACUCAAGUCCGAUGUGAAAGCCCGGGGCUCAACCCCGGAAGUGCAUUGGAAACUGGGUGGCUUGAGUACGGGAGAGGGAGGUGGAAUUCCGAGUGUAGGGGUGAAAUCCGUAGAUAUUCGGAGGAACACCGGUGGCGAAGGCGGCCUCCUGGACCGAUACUGACGCUGAGACGCGAAAGCGUGGGGAGCAAACAGGAUUAGAUACCCUGGUAGUCCACGCCGUAAACGAUGGGUACUAGGUGUUGCGGGUAUUGACCCCUGCAGUGCCGAAGCUAACGCAUUAAGUACCCCGCCUGGGGAGUACGGUCGCAAGACUAAA